CUUCUCACAGCCAAUCACAGAGUGUUUGGCUGUAGCCCUCCGUCUGUAACCCAGAUUGUGUUAUCUUUAGCUAGUUUGAAGAGGUUUCGAUUUGUUUGGCUUUUGAAUUCAGAUCGAGUAUCUUCUGGGUCGACGGAUGAUGAUGACAUGAUUGAACGCCCUCUCCUGGAAGGACUGACCGCGGGAGCCGUAGAUGAACUAAAGACCAGGGUUCUACCAUACUGAAGUUGUAAGGUAAGAUACAAAAAAAACAUGCCUUUUCGAUUUCUUUCUUGGUCAAUGAGAAAGUGUCCUGUUAUAUCUAGGGAAUGUACAGGUAUCUUGCCUGUGGGUUUACUUGUUCAUCCGUUAAGAGACUGGGUGUUGUACCAACAUAAUUUAAUGAGUGGAGGUGUUCCAAGUUUUAACUGUAAUGAGAUGUAG